GAUGAACGCUGGCGGCGUGCCUAAUACAUGCAAGUCGAGCGAACAGACGAGGAGCUUGCUCCUCUGACGUUAGCGGCGGACGGGUGAGUAACACGUGGAUAACCUACCUAUAAGACUGGGAUAACUUCGGGAAACCGGAGCUAAUACCGGAUAAUAUAUUGAACCGCAUGGUUCAAUAGUGAAAGACGGUUUUGCUGUAACUUAUAGAUGGAUCCGCGCCGCAUUAGCAAGUUGGUAAGGUAACGGCUUACCAAGGCAACGAUGCGUAGCCGACCUGAGAGGGUGAUCGGCCACACUGGAACUGAGCCUCGGUCCAGCCUCCUACGGGAGGCAGCAGUAGGGAAUCUUCCGCAAUGGGCGAAAGCUUGACGGAGCAACGCCGCGUGAGUGAUGAAGUUCUUCGGAUCGUAAAACUCUGUUAUUAGGGAAGAACAAAUGUGUAAGUAACUAUGCACGUCUUGACGGUACCUAAUCAGAAAGCCACGGCUAACUACGUG
rnacentral:rRNA from 1 species